GUUGGCGUCUGGCCUUUCGCUGAGCUCCCGCCCGAAUGCGUGUGACGUCACGGAGGACGCCGUCGGUGACGCGGAUGCUCCUCAGCUAGAAACAGAUGAAGAUCUAACAGCCCAUCUAGGACGGAAGUUGUCUUCUGCAUUCCAAGCCUUCAUUAGCAGCGUGUGCUAUCUGCUAGCAAUCUGAGUUCCUGCUGAAGUGUGUUGCCUGGACACAGACACACACACAUCCUCUGUCCGGCCCAAUCACAAUCAGAGCCUCUGAGGGAUGCAUGAGCUGCCCAGCACACUGCUGUGAUGACUUUAUUAACUGCUCUAGUGCAAUGUUCAGUUGUUCAAAAGUAAAGGAUUCUGAAAUUGAA